rnacentral:rRNA from 1 species
AGCUUGCUUGUUGGGGUUGUAGGACACUCUAUACGGAGUUACAAAGGACGACAUUAGACGAAUCAUCUGGAAAGAUGAAUCAAAGAAGGUAAUAAUCCUGUAGUCGAAAAUGUUGUCUCUCUUGAGUGGAUCCUGAGUACGACGGAACACGUGAAAUUCCGUCGGAAUCUGGGAGGACCAUCUCCUAAGGCUAAAUACUCUCUAGUGACCGAUAGUGAACCAGUACCGUGAGGGAAAGGUGAAAAGCACCCCGGAAGGGGAGUGAAAUAGAACCUGAAACCGUGUGCUUACAA